UGAACGCUGGCGGCAGGCCUACCACAUGCAAGUCGAGCGGAUGAAGGGAGCUUGCUCCUGGAUUCAGCGGCGGACGGGUGAGUAAUGCCUAGGAAUCUGCCUGGUAGUGGGGGAUAACGUCCGGAAACGGGCGCUAAUACCGCAUACGUCCUGAGGGAGAAAGUGGGGGAUCUUCGGACCUCACGCUAUCAGAUGAGCCUAGGUCGGAUUAGCUAGUUGGUGGGGUAAAGGCCUACCAAGGCGACGAUCCGUAACUGGUCUGAGAGGAUGAUCAGUCACACUGGAACUGAGACACGGUCCAGACUCCUACGGGAGGCAGCAGUGGGGAAUAUUGGACAAUGGGCGAAAGCCUGAUCCAGCCAUGCCGCGUGUGUGAAGAAGGUCUUCGGAUUGUAAAGCACUUUAAGUUGGGAGGAAGGGCAGUAAGUUAAUACCUUGCUGUUUUGACGUUACCAACAGAAUAAGCACCGGCUAACUUCGUG
rnacentral:rRNA from 1 species